ACCAUGGCAAGAUAUUGUCAUGUCAUUUUAGUGGAAGAUUAUCUUUUUUGUCAUAUCCUUUCAUCAGUGUCAUAAGAGAUCAAAAUACUUUUGAAAUUUAAGAAAAAUGAUCAACUUUUCGAAGAUUUUAUUUUUAUUUCAAGCAGUUCUUUUAACUUCCUUUUUCAGAUCAAAGAUUAUCAAAUCCAAAAAUGAAUAAUUAAGAACCCUAGUUCUCUACUCCUUUAAGCAUUUGGGAUCCAUUUUUCAGCCGCCUUCUUCAAGCGAAAGCUUGAUUAAAACUUCUAAUUUCUUUUAGCAUUGUUCUUCUCUGUUGGCACUUACCACAAGAAGUACUUUGCAUUUUAAUUCACUCGAGCUAAACUCUUUUUCAUUUGAAAAAAAAAAAAGAUAUCGACUGGAGGAUCCAAGAAGCCCUCAUUCAGUGCCCAUAAAAGCCUACCAAAUUGUGAAGUGAAACAGGGAAAUUGACAGUGCUAUCGGAAACAACGAAAGGAAUAUUUACAAAUCGAGAUAUAUAUCUGUUUGAAUUGAGCUGUCAUAUAACUAUAAUAAAUUUUAGUUGUAUCAAGGUGGAACUAUUCGUUUCUUUUGGAGCUGCAAACUGUUCUAUUUUUUAUCGUGCCAAGUCUUAAGGAUUCAAGACAAAAUUGCAAGGCAAGGACAUUAACGGGCAAAACAGAGUAGAAAAACAAGUACAUUGAGGAUCGUGGGGCCAAUUGGCGAUUCGCCUAGUGUCCCUUAAGAUCUCCUAAUGUUACAUCAUGCCAUUUAUUGGAAAAGAAAAACUAGGCAAGGGAACGGACCCUUCAGCACAUGCCAAUUGGAUUGGCGAAGGAGUCUCAGCCCGCCUAGUUUCACAGAACAAUCAUUGUAGAUGAUGGCAACUCUGAAAGGACAACUCGCAUAUCACCGACCAGGUAUGAAAUCUUGAACUUGAUAGCAUAAUAUAAGAUCAUGAAUAGGGUUAUGACUCAAGCUAAAUACGCCAUGUAGAGGAUUGUUUUGCUGUCGCCGGCCUGUUCGGCAACACUCUACUUAUACCGCCGAAUGACCCCGAAGGAAAAAAUCUAGAAACAUAUAACUUAUAUUCAAAAAGAGAUAUCUGGAUUCCAGCAUUAUUUUUUUGAUGGAAAGACUAUUUUUAUGAGUUUUCAAGUAGAUUUUCUACUUGGGUUUCGAUCGUAAACUAAUUUGGAGCAUUGUAAAGCCUUGGAUUUUAUCGCCCAACUUAUG